AGCAUGAUAAAGCCGAAUCCAGCUCAGGUACGGGGGAACCGCAAACCAGGGGUGAAAUUCCGGAAACGGAAUAGGGGUCCUCUAACCCUAACCCGUCAGCUAACCUCGGAGGCUUCGAGAGGGGCAGA
rnacentral:sRNA from 1 species